rnacentral:ncRNA from 1 species
CGGGGCCGCACGCGCGCUACACUGACCGGAUCAGCGUGUGCUCUCCUUGGCCGACGGUCCGGGAAACCCGUUGAACCCCGGUCGUGCUAGGGAUAGGGAAUUGCAAUUAUUUCCCUUGAACGAGGAAUUCCCAGUAAGCGCGAGUCAUUAGCUCGCGUUGAUUACGUCCCUGCCCUUUGUACACACCGCCCGUCGCUACUACCGAUUGAAUGGUUUAGUGAGGUCCUCCGAUUGGACCCGGUCCGGGCGGCGACGUCCGAGCCGGCGUCCGAGAAGACGAUCUAACUUGAUCAUUUAGAGGAAGUAAAAGUCGUAACAAGGUUUCCGUAGGUGAACCUGCGGAAGGAUCAUUA